ensembl:lncRNA
GGAGACAAUCAAAGACUAGUGUGGUGGAGACAAUCAAAGACUAGUGUGGUGGAGACAAUCAAAGACUAGUGUGGUGGAGACAAUCAAAGACUAGUGUGGUGGAGACAAUCAAAGAAAGGAAUGGGGGGGGGAUUCUAUCUCGAUUUGUUUUGAUGAAUGGAAUAAAUUGUAGUUAUUUAUCCAAAGCACUUUUGAUAUAGUGAUUCAAAUAUUUUCUAGUCACAUUUCUGUUUGUGUUGUGUGUUUAUGCCUGAAUUUUCUGGACGUUUAUACACGUGUAAAUAUACACUGUAGAAAAUACACAGAACACAGAAUUGGGUGAUACAGGAUGAGAGAGAGAAAUAGAAAGAGAAAGAGUGAGAGAGAGAGAGAGAGAAGGAGAGAGAGAAGGAGAGAGAGAGAGAGAGAGGAGAGAGAGAAGGAGAGAGAGAGAGAGGAGAGGAGAGAGAGAGAGAGAAGGAGAGAGAGAGAGAGAGAAGGAGAGAGAGGAGAGGAGAGAGAGAGAGAGAAGGAGAGAGAGAGAGAGAGAGAAGGAGAGAGAGAAGGAGAGAGAGAGAAAGGAGAGGAGAGAGAGAGAGAAAUUUUGCUGUUAAUAUUUGACCUCAAUAAAUUAUUUUCUGUCAAGGUCGGUUUACCCAAAGAGGUCUGUGACGUGCUCUUUUCAGUCAGGAUUUGUAAAUCAAUUGAAGGAUCAUUUGAAUUACGUUCCAGGCUGAGUAUGUGUGUAUGUGUGUGACGUGUCUAUGUGGGGGAGUGUAUGUGUGUGACGUGUCUAUGUGAGGGAGUGUAUGUGUGUGCCGUGUCUAUGUGAGGGAGUGUAUGUGUGUGCCGUGUCUAUUUGAGGGAGUGUAUGUGUGUAUGUGUGUGACGUGUCUAUGUGAGAGAGUGUAUGUGUGUAUGUGUGUGAGACGUGUCUAUGUGAGGGAGUGUAUGUGUGUGUGUGUGUGACGUGUCUAUGUGAGAGAGUGUAUGUGUGUGACGUGUCUAUUUGAGGGAGUGUAUGUGUGUAUGUGUGUGAGACGUGUCUAUGUGAGGGAGUGUAUGUGUGUGUGUGUGUGAGACGUGUCUAUGUGAGAGAGUGUAUGUGUGUAUGUGUGUGACGUGUCUAUGUGAGAGAGUGUAUGUGUGUAUGUGUGAGACGUGUCUAUGUGAGGGAGUGUAUGUGUGUGUGACGUGUCUAUGUGUGUGUGUGUGUGUGACACGUGUCUAUGUGAGGGAGUGUGUGACGUGUCUAUGUGUGUGUGUGUGUGUGUGACGUGUCUGUGUGCAGCUCCAGUUGAAGCGAGAAAGAACGUUGUUUCAUGGUUGUAAAAUGUUGUAAAGUCUGUAUCCAUCACAAUCCACUUAGUUACUAUCACAGAGAAAGAUACCGUAUCACAUGUGUCCUACUUCACACAUGAACAAGUGUGUGAAUGACUGUGUGAAUUAAUUUAAUCUUUAUUUAACCAGGCAAGUCAGUUAAGAACUAAUUCUUAUUUUCAAUGACGGUCUAGGAACAGUGGGUUAACUGGUCUAGGAACAGUGGGUUAACUGGUCUAGGAACAGUGGGUUAACUGGUCUAGGAACAGUGGGUUAACUGGUCUAGGAACAGUGGGUUAACUGGUCUAGGAACAGUGGGUUAACUGGUCUAGGAACAGUGGGUUAACUG